GCUGGGCAUGGUGGCGGCGCGUGCCUGUAAUUCCAGCUACUCAGGAGGCUGAGGCAGGAGAAUCGCCUGAACCCGGGAGGCGGAGGUUGCGGUGAGCCGAUAUCGCGCCAUUGUACUCCAGCCUGGGUAACAAGAGCGAAACUCCGUCUCAAAAAAAAAUUUUUUUUUUUUUUUUGAGACGGAGUUUCGCCGUUGUUUCCCAAGCUGGAGUGUAAUGGCGCGAUCUCUGCUCACCGCAGCCUCCGCCUCCCGGGUUCAAGUGAUUCUCCUGCCUCAG
rnacentral:SRP_RNA from 13 species